GCCAAGAUGGUGGUGAAGUUAUUAGAUAGCCGUUGGGAGGUCAUUUACUUUGUUGCUGAGCACAACCACCCGUUGGUUGACAAACCAUCUUUGACUAAGUACCUGAGAUCACACCAAGGGAUACCACCAGAAGAAAAGGCUUUCCUCACAUAUCUCCAUAAUUGCAACUUGACAACAGGUCGUAUGAUGCACAUCAUGUCAGAUUACUAUGGGACAGAGCUGAUUGUUCCUUAUGGUACUAAACAUAUUUCAAACUUGAAGUCAGAAUUGAACAAGCAUGCCACGAAAGAAGGUGAUAUGAUUGAGACAGUUGCCUACUUUAAAGACCAGCAG
rnacentral:rRNA from 1 species